AGGCCACGGCUUGAGCGCCCGUGCGGCUCCGACAGCGGUGUUGUACUGCCACCUAGCGGCCGAGCUGGAAAACGAUGCGUCGCCCGGCGUUAAGUACGGGGUUUGAGUCAAGCUGGUUGGCUCGUCAUCGAGUCCGUCGGUCAAGCGGAGCCGUCGGUUCCCCGGCACAGGGCUCCGUUCUCAUUACAGCAGCCCUGACUAGAAGGUCACUGCGCGAGGAGGAGGACGAUGCCUCAUUCCCAGCGAAGGGGAAGGAGCACGGAGCUGGUGCUGCCUCUGAGGAUUAAUAGACUUGACCACACAUUUCAAGAGGGUAAAGCAAGAUGGAGCAGAGUAGGAGCAGUAAGCACAGUAAAGCCAUAAAAGAUCUGACAUUGAAGUUGUACUGAAGUGGACUACUUGAGAUUUUAGACUAACAUGAGGUAAGUAAGAAUAAC
rnacentral:lncRNA from 1 species